GCGCAGCUGUUUAGUGUCUGUAGAAUUAUGCUGUAAAGCACAGAAAUGCCGAGGCACGGACGCCGAGGCAAGGAGAAAUCGAGCCAUGGAAGGCGAGUUUCGACGGUUUCGUCGGGCAUAGAAAACCUGCGGGCAUAAUUCGUACAGACACUUAACAGCGAAGC
rnacentral:ncRNA from 1 species